ensembl:misc_RNA Metazoa_SRP Metazoan signal recognition particle RNA
GCCAGGUGUGGUGGCGUGCACCUGUAAUCCCAGCUACUUGGGAGGCUGAGGCAGGAGAAUCGCUUGAACCUGGGAGGCGGAGGUUGCAGUGAGCCAAGAUCAUGCCACUGAACUCCAGCCUGGGUGACAGAGUGAAACUCUGUCUCAA